UACAGAGGGUGCGAGCGUUAAUCGGAAUUACUGGGCGUAAAGGGUGCGUAGGUGGUUUGAUAAGUUAGGUGUGAAAGUCCCGGGCUUAACCUGGGGAUUGCGCCUGAUACUGUUAGACUAGAGUACUGUAGAGGAAAGUGGAAUUUCCGGUGUAGCAGUGAAAUGCGUAGAUAUCGGAAGGAACACCAGUGGCGAAGGCGACUUUCUGGACAGUGAUUGACGCUGAGACGCGAAAGCGUGGGGAGCAAACAGG
rnacentral:rRNA from 1 species